rnacentral:lncRNA from 1 species
GAACCUCUAAUAUGUGUGACCCCGCAGGUUCGAACCUAAGCCAGUAGCACAGGAACCAAUUCCUGUACUAAUCGAAGUAACCAUCUAGUAAUGGUACCCAAUGUCCGGAUAGGUCGAAUAGUCAUAAUCGCAACACUCAGAACCUACAUGAAUAUGGUUACUGUAUAAUUCAUCCUUUUGACCCCUGUGUUUAGGAUGACUCAGGGUUAAACUAUCAACCCUGAUCAGAUCAUCCGAAUCGUGCUCAACUCAAACAGUCCUGUGACUCCUCACCAGGACUACCUUGGCCAAAGUUUUGCUAAAUUAAAACACAACUGUACACAGCUCCUAAACUGGAGUGGUUAAUCCCAUUUUGACACACGCACUGACAAGUCAAGUACUUGACUACACCCAGCAGCCUUCCAUCACUGAAUU